rnacentral:lncRNA from 1 species
AUGUGUAUUUGCACCGAUCAGGACUUGAUGGUUGGGAACCAGAGAGUGUGAAGAUUAUCAGUCCAAAUUCGAGCCCUGUCACAUAUGACUUCAACACCUCCGCUCCCAAUGAGGAUUGGUACGGAGUCAAUUUGUGCCAGAUACAUCCUCCUCCUUCUCCAUUUGAACCUUCGCCUCCUUUUCCAAUUAAACCUCCGCCUUCUCCUCCAUCUUCUUCUCAUCAGCAUCGCGUUCCCGGAUUGUUCGGGCUCGUAAUGAUUCUGGGAUCCAUCCUGAGUGCUCUGUUGUAAGCGCCCUUGAUGGUUUGUUUGGUUUUAUGUAUGUGAUUCUGGGAUAGUCCUAAGUGUUUCUGUUAUGUGCUUGCAACUACUAUCUGCCGUUAUUUUGUCUGCGGCACGAUUGGUGCAAUAAUAUGUCAUGUUGUUAUUAGUUGUAAUAGGAUAUUUAUCCAUGUCUGCCGGAUAUUUUGUAAGCUUUAUAAUAGUUGUGAACCGUGCUUUUGCAGCUAUUAAUUAACUAAUGUUGUUUUGUUAUUAACUACUCUUUGCAUAGCCCCUUCAAGAUGGGGGUUUUAUUUCAUGAUCAAGAUUUUCCCUUGAUUUGAUUAUAUUUUGGGAUAAAAUUAUGUUGCAACUAUGGUAUGCUACUGCAGUUGUUUUCAGUCGUUAGAUGUACAGUUAUAUAGUUAUAUUAGUUGGAUCUAAUGAUUGAAAACAAUUGUAGUAUCAUAUUAUAGUUGUAACAUAGUUGGACCCCAAUUGCAUGAUUGAUAGUUUAUAAAAAAAAAAAAUUGAAUCUUCUUCAUUCACUAUCACUAAAAGACACAUUGAAAGAAGAUUUUAAAAAAUUCAUAAGAAAUCAGAUCAAGAAAUGAUCAUUUUCUUUCGUUUCAUGGCUUUGCCUUAAACGCAAUUGAGAGUGGCCUUGGGCUCUUGGACAUUUUAUUUAAGAAAGGUGCUGGAAUUAAUGGUGUUACUGGAGGCGUCGCUAAAAGCAAUCGGCUAUAAUUUACUUGGUUAUUGUUUCGCAGCAAAGCUCGUGUUUCUUGAUGUGUCGUCUGUGUGGCCGUUGAUUUCAAUUCUCGAUUACGUGUCAUCUCUGUUCAGUUGAGUGAGCUUUUUCUUUUUUGGUCCCCAUUGCCUACAGCCACGAAUUUGAAAAACGUAAGACAUGUCGUCAUGUAGACAAAUUUGAACGGUGACGGUGUAGUAGUGGAGCCGAUUGAGACACGAUAUCGACUGAUUAAACUUACUUUAUAUGGGAAUCUUGUGAAAUUUUUAAUUAUGAUUUUUUAGGGUGACGACAACUUAAUUCAUUUUUCUAUAGAUGCAUGAGUUGGUUUUGAAUCUUAGUGCUUUUGAUUUUUACAUAAAAUUAUAUUAUCUCAACUAAAUAGUCUAUACAGAUUACAAAUGUUAUAAGAAUAUACUUUUAAGUGUUGUGAGAUGUUUUCAUUACUAAUUUACUAGUACUAACUUUUUUUUUUCUAAAAGAUAAAUUAAUUAGCGUCCAAAAUAUUAUUGUAAGAAUAUUAUUAUAAAAAUUAAGGAAAAGUAAUUUUUUAAAAGAUAAAUUAAUUAAUGUUAAGAAUAUUAUUAUAAAGAUAUUAAUAUGAAAAAAAUAACAUAAUUAAUUGUAAAGACAUUUUAAAGUGUUGUUAAAAAUAUAAGUGCUUUGGGGUAUAAAAAAUAGUUACUUGAGUUCGAGGAGAAAGUUAUUUGGUCACAUGUGCAAGCGCGACCAACGUUCUGUUAGGAGAAUAGAAUCAGGUCGCAUGGCUUUGGUUAAUAUCUCAUAUUGUUGAGCUUCAUUUGGAAGCUCAUCCGUAACGUAUAUGCACGCUCUGCUUUAAUGUUUAAAGCACAAUCAGGCAUUAUAAUGGUUGCUCAACAACUAGAUAAAUUGAUAUAUUAACUCUUAGAUUCAAGUGGCAUACUCAAUUUGGUAAUGACCACGCAGUAAAGAACGAACAAUAACGCGCGACAUGCAUAGUUCUCUAUAAGAACUGGGGGAGAUCCAGAAAAUGGAUUUUUUUUGGGGUUUUGAUUAAAAAAAUAGAAUUCUAGAAAAAAUACAAAAUACUUAAAAUCACAAGUGUGACAUUAUUAUUUUCCUUACAAAGAAAAACCUGAUUGCUGACUUGAGCGUUGGAAGGUUUUUACUAGAAAAAAUACGGCGUCCCUGACAGUUUUCUGUUGUUGCAGAUCAAAGGAAAUGUCAGUACAAUUCAAAUUCCACUACAGUAUCAAGCGACAAAUGCCCCAUCAAAAUAAAUUAAAGUGUUGGCGAGACAAUUUGGUCGCCGACCGAAUUACGGCAUCAACAAUAAAAAUUAAAUAAGAACUUAAGUUAAAAUAUAGAAAUUAAAUAAAGAUUUAUCCUAAGUUUAGAUAUCAAAUUUACUACGGAUCUUUGAUGGAGAAAGUUACCAAAAGAAACAAAAAGUCCAAAUUUUUGUCUUCAAAAGAUAGUGCACCUAGAUUGACCCUUAUAUACUAGAAGAAAGAGAUGGGAUUGAUUAUCCUUCACACAAGCUUCAAGAUAAUUCUUUUUAACCAAAAAAAAAAAAUUGUAAAAGGGAUUAAGAUGCGUAAAAUACAUUUUUUUCCCCCAAAAUUGCGUAAAAUACUUGAUGAAAACAUGCAAGGCAGUGGAGUCAAACUCAAUCGAGACACUGAGUCAGAUAAUUUGAUAGUAUGGUUCACCAUUGUCGACGUCUGCAUGUUUUGUCAAAGAAUGACUCCCAACCGUUUUCCAACAGAAAAACGGGUGUAGUUGGCACUAUUGGUUAUUAAUUAUUUAUUAUUUUACAUUUUCUAAUUGAUUAUUUUAUCAGCUUCCACGUGUGGGUAAGUAUAGUAGAAUAUCAUUGAGGCUCUUUGAAAAAAAAAAAGAAAGUAUAUGCACCUAAUUUCGCUUGAGUAUCUAAUUUAACCAACCAAUUGUGGACCAUGAUAGCCUAGUCUUCUUGAUGUUACAGCCAUUAAAUUGCCAAUCGGUGCAAGCGGUUUUUUUUUUUUAAUAGUAAAUGAUUUCAUUUCCAGUAAAACACAAUAAUUAUAAUAAAAUUUCGAUCUUUAUUGGGACCUCUUCGAUCCACACUCGAGGUGUUGAAAUGAAAAAAGUUAUUUUUUUUCUAAAGCAUGGGCCACUAAGUUAUAAGACCUAAAAGUAUAAGCUAUCUGAUAUUGAUUAUUUUGUUCUAUCAUAACUCUAAUAUCAUAAAGUAUCCAAUCUAACUCUUCUCUACUAGAAGUACCAUUGAGAAUAAAGUUGACAACAUUCUUGGAAUCAUACCCUAUAAGAAGAGGAGAAAGAGCAACAUCCACUGCCAACUUUAUUCCUUCUAAAAUCACUGAAGCUUCCGUAAUUUCUACAUCUCCUAAGCAAGGUUUCUUUGAUGUUGCAGCAGCCAUUACGGCUCCUUGAUAAUCUCUGAGAAUCGGUGCAAGCGGUUUUGGCUCAAAAUGCUUGCUGGUCUUCUAGAAUCUCAUACUUAAUUGACUAGAGAAGUGGAUAGACCUUCACUACCAAAGGGUCACACUACCUCCUCCUUCGAAGUUCAUUUCUCUAGGAUAAUUAUACUUGAUUUUUUUUUCUAGGGAAAGAUUCAUUGGGAUAAAAACCCAAGCAGAAGAAAUAGAAUUUAAUAACUCAUAAUGUAGUGCCUAACGUGCUUCGAUUGUGAUGUGAUUAUGUAAAGCACAGAGUUAUAAUCAUGGACCAACUUGAAAUAUUACACUAGAAACUACUUCCACUUGGGUGAGAUAUUAUGCUCUUUAAGCAAUAAUUUCGUAUCAGUUCAAACAAUAACCUUGAUUGUGUUACUGAGUCUCAUGGCUUUUAGAUAAGUUAUUGAGGUAUAUGGCUUGUAGAUAAAUCACCGAUGAAGAAUAAUUUUCACCGAAAAAUACUAUAGGCUUCAAAUUCAGACUUUGAUGGAUUUGCUAUCUUCAAUUGAUCUUUAGGGGUUUUGGAAUCUUCAAAUGCAUGGCUUUAUAUGUGUGUAAGAAUAUUCAAAUUCUGUCUUCAUUCUGUCGGGUUUUCCUUGCAAUAUUAGUAACAAAUAAAUUUAAAUAAAAAAAACACACAAUAACUAGCCUCAUUUUGUUUAAUGUAGAAGAUCCAAAUUAAUAUGACAAUGAUAGAGAAUACGUAUAAUUAAAUAAACUAGUAAAAUAAAGAGUAGGGUAUAAGAUACUUUCUAUACCCGAGCAAUAAUCAUAUUGAUAACAUGUUAUAAUGUUGAUGAAUUUGGGUAGGAAGCAUUUAACAAUUUUAAUAGAUAAUAUAGAUGAUAUAGAGAUAAGGGGGCUGUGUCAUAUAAAUACAAAGCAUUUUUCUCCCACGCUUAAUUACGGUUGCGUUUAGAAUUGAGGUUAUUCAGUAGUAACUUAAAAGUGACAACACUAAAGUGUUUGGUAAACAUUAGCUGCUAUAGUUUGUAAGCUAUAUUGAUAUGAUUUUUCACUUGUAUAAUGAAAAGUUUAUUAUAUAUUUAAUAAUUUUGUCAAAAUAAUUAUUUAAAAUUUAUAUUUACUAUAUAUUAUUAACUUUUGUUUAAUAGUUAUAAAAUCUUUUUCACAGCAACUAUAACUUAAAAACUACAACACCUCAAUCCCAAACGGAUCGGUUGUCCAAUUUCAAUUCCUGUCUCACUAGAAUAAUAAGCUUAAUUAAGUGUUCAGCUCCUUAGCUUUAUAUCAUAUAGCCCCCUUAUCUCUGUAUCAUAUAUAUUAUGCAUUAAAAUUAUUAAUAUAUUCCCUACCCAGAUUUCUCUCAGAUUUGAUCGUGCGAUCUUCAAAGUCAAAAACUUUUAAAAAAAGAAAAUAGUCCGCGUACCUAAACUCAAUUUUUCUAUGGGUGAAUCUGACCCGUAGGAAAAAUAGUACAAACAUCUAUUAUGAUAACGAUACAUUUGAGGACGAUGGCCAAAUAUUUUAUUUUGGUGAAGAUAAGGUUAUAUAUAUUUUAGUGGGACUAUUGUCAUGAAUUUUUAAUCUAUUUAAGAUCUUGCAAAUUAAAAUAUCAAAUAAAAAACAAACAAACAAUAAAAUCAAUCAUAUAAUAUAAGAAUUUGCAUGAAAAAAUCAUAUAUUAAAAAAAACUAUAACUACAAAGAACAAUAAGAGAAAAAUCUAUUAUGUGAAAAAUUAUUAUAAUCAGUUUAAUAUUUUUUUCACAUACAAAAUACUAAUAAUAUCCUAUCUUUCAAUAGAUCUACCAUUUUUCUUAUACUAAAAACUGUUUAUUUACAGAGAAAUUGAGUGAUUUACAAGUGAACCCAACUUCUACAUUUAUAGUGAUUAUUUAUUGUACAAGUAAUAUUCAUUUUCUUAGAAGAAUUAUAUUCAGUCAUUGAAUAAGUUAAGUACUAAAACGAAAAGACUCAUUAAAUAAUAUUUUACUUCUCAUUUGAAGUAGCCACAUUAUUAAUAAAUGUUCAAAAAAUUAUACAAAAGAGAUUUUUCAAGUUAGAGCAUCACCAAAAGACUCUUCAAAUAAGAUUUUAUUAAUUAUUUGAAGAGCCACCUCAAUAUUUAAGGCUCCAAAAGACAUUCCAAUUAAGAUUCUUCAAAUAAGAAAUGAUUCUCUCUCUUCAAAUUUGGAGAGUUGAUUUCUCCCUCUUCAAUUUAUAUUUUAUUACUUUUCAUUGAAGAAAGAGAGAGAAGUGCUUUAAUUACUAUUGACUUUUCCUUUAAAAAAAUAAUUAUUUGAUUAAAAUAAUAUUAACUUAUUUCUAUUUGAAGAGUCUUUUGGAGAAUAUCAUAUUUUUUCACCAUUCUAUUUGCCACAUAGGUAAGCAAAUAAGUAUUUGAAGAGUAAAAUUUAUAGAGGCUUUUGGAGAUGCUCUUAGAUUGUCAUUCUCUCUUCUCAAUAUUAAAGAGUGACUUUUAUUUUCAAUUAAUAUUAUAUUAUUUUUUAUCUCAUUAUUAUUAAAAAAAUAAGUACUAUAAUUACUAUUAUUAUUAUUUUGGUUGAGAAAAUAAUUUAAUUAAAAUAAUAUUAAUUUAUUUUUAUUUAAAGAGUUUUUUAAAGGAUGUCAUAUUUUGUUAGGUAAAUAAAUAAGUAUUUAAAAAAUAAAAUUGGAAUAGUUUUGGCUAACGCUCAGUUGCUUAUAGAACAUGGCCGGCCGGCCACUACUCACACAGUGAAAAUAGUUAAAAGACAGAUUUGCCCUUAAGAGCGAUGGAACGUCGGGGAUUUGUAAAUUUCCCAAAAAACACAGGCUUGCUAACUUUUUAUUCACCCCACACGAUUCAACUACCCGCAGGCUGCGGCAACAUUAGCAUAUUUAAACAAGGUUUCUGGGGAAUUGAAUAAAAAAUUAACAGGAAAAAAGAAAAAAAAAUCGAAAAUCGAAAAUCGAAAAUGAAAAUCGCAGCUCCCAUUCUGCUUCUGUUGGCCUUUGCGUUCACGCUAUCUGAAGCCGAAACGACGAGCUUGCAGCUGAAGCCUCGAGCUUUCGAGUCCUUUAACGUUAGUUAUAUUCAGGUACCGUAGUUAUUAUUUUAUCUCUCUCUCUUUUUUUAAUAAAUUUAUUAUUUUUUGAGUAGUUGUUGAUAAUCGUUUAAUUUUUUAACCAAAAAAUAGAACCUAGGGAGCUGUUCUUACACGGUGGUCAUAACUACCAGCUGUUCCUCAAGCAAGUACACUCGCGAUCAGAUCAGUAUUGCUUUUGGAGAUGCUUACGGCAAUCAGGUUUUCAAUUUUAUUUUUUUAAAUUUAAAAGUAUCUUUUAAUUUCUUCAGUUUUUAAAUCAGUGUUUUUGUCCUUUUUUUUUUUAAUGGUGAUUCUGGAUUUCAUUUUUAGGAAGGAAAUUGAUAAUUAGAUUUUUGUUUGCUUAAAUGGAAAGUGAUGACCAGUGAUGUAGAAAUUUUUAUGUAUUUAACUGUAGGCUUUUUAAUUUCAUUUUAUUUUUGAGAGCAGAGCAGAGAAAGUAUAUUAGGGUAAAGUUCAGUUGGCUGGAGUUAAUAAAUGCAUGGAUGUAAGAUCAGUUUGGGUUUGAAUUGCAGUGGUUUUAGUCAACAAUUGCUGUGAAAUUGAAUCACUUGUCGUUAAGUUAUAAAGUUGGCGAUUAGCAGUUGAGUAAACUUCAGUUGUGCCUUUUAAAUUAAGUUCAAGCACAACAACCAGAAAUGGGCUCGUAGUCUUAGUCUUUGCAUUGGGUUCUUUUCAUUUGAGAUCCUGUUCCUGGGCGAAAUGCUUUUGUGCUCUUGAAGGAGAUAUUUGUUUAUUUCAGCUUAACACUAUAAUACAAGUAGACCACAAUGCCUAAUUGAAAAUGUUUUGUUCGGACCCAGAAUAGUCUCAAACUUGUAAACCAUCGUUGCGGUGGGGGGCACCUCCUUAGCUCCUUGCCUUCUUCUCAUGAUUGAUGGUUUGAGUGUCCCAGUUUGUUGUGCUAGUGUUUUCUUUGAAUUUCCUGAGUUCACUUUGAAGUAUGCUUGGCCAGAGCACAUAUCAAACUUCUUAUGAAAGUUGAACUAAUUUAAGGGAUUUUGAGUGGAAUUCUCGUAACCUAUUAGUAGAUGUGUUGUUGCUCCAUAUUAAAUACAACAGAAAGCAAUUCUUUAUGUAAUGCAUUCAUUUUGUUUCUAAAGGUCAGGUUUAUCUAGAAAUAUAAAACUACACUAUUCUUAUAGUCAAAUGUGGAUUACUAAUAUAUUUGAAACAUUUGUAAUCAGAUUUAUGCACCAAGACUUGAUGAUCCGUCUACCGAUGCAUUUGAAAGUUGCUCCUCUGAUACAUUUGAGAUAAGAGGACCAUGUGCGUAUCAAAUCUGUUAUGUGUAUUUGUAUCGAACUGGACCGGAUGGUUGGAAACCAGAGAGUGUGAAGAUUUAUGGUGCUAAUUCGAGAGCUGUCUCAUUUUACUACAACACCUUUAUUCCCAGUGAUAUCUGGUAUGGAUUCAAUCUGUGCCGAAGUGCUUCUUCUGCACAUCAACAACAUGUACCCAGAUGGUCUGUGUAUG